AACGAACGCUGGCGGCAUGCCUAACACAUGCAAGUCGAACGAGACCUUCGGGUCUAGUUGCGCACGGGUGCGUAACGCGUGGGAACCUGCCCUUAGGUUCGGAAUAACUCCCCGAAAGGUGUGCUAAUACCGGAUAAUGUCUUCCGACCAAAGAUUUAUCGCCUUUGGAUGGGCCCGCGUUGGUUUAGCUAGUUGGUAGGGUAAAAGCCUGCCAAGGCGACGAUCCAUAGCUGGUCGGAGAGGAUGAUCAGCCACACUGGGCCUGAGACACAGCCUAGACUCGUACGGGAGGCAGCAGAGGGGAAUAUUGGACAAGGGGCGAAAGCCUGAUCCAGCAAUGCCGCGUGAGUGAUGAAGGCCUUAGGGUUGUAAAGCUCUUUUACCCGGGAUGAUAAUGACAGUACCGGGAGAAUAAGCACCGGCUAACUCCGUG
rnacentral:rRNA from 1 species